rnacentral:rRNA from 1 species
UUGUCCUGUGACUGCGUACCUUUUGUAUAAUGGGUCAGCGACUUAUAUUCAGUGGCAAGGUUAACCAUCUAGGGGAGCCGUAGGGAAACCGAGUCUUAACUGGGCGUUCAGUCUCUGGAUAUAGACCCGAAACCAGGUGAUCUAGCCAUGGGCAGGUUGAAGGUUGAGUAACAUCAACUGGAGGACCGAACCGACUAAUGUUGAAAAAUUAGCGGAUGACUUGUGGCUAGGGGUGAAAGGCCAAUCAAACCUGGAGAUAGCUGGUUCUCCCCGAAAGCUAUUUAGGUAGCGCCUCGGACGAAUACUACUGGGGGUAGAGCACUGUUAAGGCUAGGGGGUCAUCCCGACUUACCAACCCUUUGCAAACUCCGAAUACCAGUAAGUACUAUCCGGGAGACACACGGCGGGUGCUAACGUCCGUCGUGGAGAGGGAAACAACCCAGACCGCCAGCUAAGGUCCCAAAUUACUACUAAGUGGGAAACGAUGUGGGAAGGCUCAGACAGCCAGGAUGUUGGCUUAGAAGCAGCCAUCAUUUAAAGAAAGCGUAAUAGCUCACUGGUCGAGUCGGCCUGCGCGGAAGAUGUAACGGGGCUAAGUAGUAAACCGAAGCUGCGGCAAUAUACUUUUGUAUAUUGGGUAGGGGAGCGUUCUGUAAGCGGUUGAAGGUGUGUGGUAACGCAUGCUGGACGUAU